rnacentral:lncRNA from 1 species
UUGCCUAGCACUGCCCAAGGAGGGGGCAGUGGUCUUUGGAGGCAGGAGAUUACUCUAGACAAAGGUCUGUGGGGGAGACAGAAGGAGUUUACCAGAGAAGAUCCCUGUUCUCCUGGAACUACUAAGGGAGCAGAUGGAGUAAAUGAGUUCUGGGUGCCACACAUUAGAAAGGAACUUCAGAGGCUGGAAUGUGUCCAAGGGAGGUGACCAGGAGAGUGAGGGGAGUGGAGACGAUGCCAUCUGAGGAUGAACGGAAAGGCACCUGGGUGGCACAGUGAAUAGAGAGCACUGAGCCUGGAGUUAGGAAGACCUGAAUCUUCUUAUAUACUCUCAGACUUCCAAAUACAGUCUCAGACACUUCCUAGCUUUGUGACCCUGAGCAAGUCACUUCAUCUCUGCCUGCCUCAGUUCUCCCAACUAUAAAAUGGGGAAAAUAAAAGUGCCUGUCUCCUAGGGUUGUUGUGAGGA